AUGUGAUCGUCUCUCGCAUAUCAAUAAGCGGAGGAAAAGAAACUAACAAGGAUUCCCCUAGUAACGGCGAGUGAAGCGGGAAGAGCUCAAAUUUGAAAUCUUAAAGGGUUUCCCUUUACGAAUUGUAGUUUAAAGAAGUGUUUUCUGUUGAGGUUUUGGUAAAAGUUCUUUGGAAUAGGACAUCAUAGAGGGUGAGAAUCCCGUAUUUGACCUUUACUUUCAACUUUGUGAUACACUUUCAAAGAGUCGGAUUGUUUGGGAAUGCAGUCCAAAAUGGGUGGUAAAUUUCAUCUAAAGCUAAAUAUUGGCGAGAGACCGAUAGCGAACAGGUACCGUGAGGGAAAGAUGAAAAGAACUUUGAAAAGAGAGUUAAACAGUACGUGAAAUUGUCAAAAGGGAAGCGUUUGACACCAGUGUUGUUUUUCUGAAAAUCAAUUAAAGAACUGUUUAUGCUAAGUUGUUUAGACUUUAUCAGCUAACUGUUUAGUUUUGAGCUUUUCUUUAAUGCACUUUUCAGUUAACAAGUCAACAUCAAUUUCUUUUGCUGUAAAAAAGCUUGAGGAAGGUGGCUUGAGAUUCGUCUUAAGUGUUUAUAGCCUCUUGCCUAUGCAGUCGGAGAGAUUGAGGUCUGCAGCGUAGAUCCUUCGGGGCUAAAUGCAUUUGUGCUAAGUUAUAACAUUUUAUAGACAACUUGUUGACUAUGAUUUGUCUUGUAGCUUACUCGCUUAUGUUAUUUUACCUACGCUUAGGAUGUUGAGUAGCGACAUACGCAC
rnacentral:rRNA from 1 species